CCAACAGAUCUCUUGAGAACUCAUUCACUAUCAAGAGAACAGCAUGGAGGUUAUCGCCCCUAUGAUUCAAUUACCUCCCAGCGGGUCCCUCACAUGACACAUGGGACUUAUGGAAACUACAAUUCAAGAUGAGAUUUGGGUGGAAACACAGCCA